rnacentral:rRNA from 1 species
AAGCGGAGGAAAAGAAACUAACAAGGAUUCCCUUAGUAACGGCGAGUGAACCGGGAAGAGCUCAAAUUUGAAAUCUGGCGUCCUUCGGGCGUCCGAGUUGUAAUCUAUAGAAGCGUUUUCCGCGCCGGACUGUGUAUAAGUCUCCUGGAACGGAGUAUCAAAGAGGGUGACAAUCCCGUGCUUUACACAACGACCGGUGCUCUGUGAUACGCUCUCUAAGAGUCGAGUUGUUUGGGAAUGCAGCUCAAAAUGGGUGGUAAACUCCAUCUAAAGCUAAAUAUUGGUGGGAGACCGAUAGCGAACAAGUACCGUGAGGGAAAGAUGAAAAGCACUUUGGAAAGAGAGUUAAACAGUAUGUGAAAUUGUUGAAAGGGAAACGAUUGAAGUCAGUCGUGUCCAUUGGGUUCAGCCGGUUCUGCCGGUCUACUCCCUUUGGACGGGUCAACAUCAGUUCUGGUCGGCGGAUAAGGGCGUGAGGAACGUGGCACCCCUCGGGGUGUGUUAUAGCCUCGCGUCGCAUACGCUGGUCGGGACUGAGGAACGCAGCUCGCCUUUAUGGCCGGGGUUCGCCCACGUCCGAGCUUAGGAUGUUGACAUAAUGGCUUUAAACGACCCGUCUUG